UGUGGCCCUGCAGGCGUCACAGGUGGACUGUGCUCCACAUGUGGGCCUGCAGGUGUCACAGGUGGACU